AUGGAAACAACAAAGCACGUUCAUAUGCCUGCUGGAGAAUUGUCACAUGAACCCUGGAGGGAUAUUCAAGCAUUUAGCAAGGAAAAUAUCAUGGAGGAGUUGAUCAAAUUUAAAAUCUCCAAUCCAAACUUCCGUCAGUUG